GAGUUUGAUCAUGGCUCAGGACGAACGCUGGCGGCGUGCCUAAUACAUGCAAGUCGAGCGGGUCUUCAUUAGCUUGCUUUUGAAGAUCAGCGGCGGACGGGUGAGUAACACGUGGGCAACCUGCCUGUAAGACUGGGAUAACUUCGGGAAACCGGAGCUAAUACCGGAUAAUCCUUUUCCUCUCAUGAGGAAAAGCUGAAAGACGGUUUCGGCUGUCACUUACAGAUGGGCCCGCGGCGCAUUAGCUAGUUGGUGAGGUAACGGCUCACCAAGGCGACGAUGCGUAGCCGACCUGAGAGGGUGAUCGGCCACACUGGGACUGAGACACGGCCCAGACUCCUACGGGAGGCAGCAGUAGGGAAUCUUCCGCAAUGGACGAAAGUCUGACGGAGCAACGCCGCGUGAGCGAUGAAGGCCUUCGGGUCGUAAAGCUCUGUUGUCAGGGAAGAACAAGUAUCGGAGUAACUGCCGGUACCUUGACGGUACCUGACCAGAAAGCCACGGCUAACUACGUGCCAGCAGCCGCGGUAAUACGUAGGUGGCAAGCGUUGUCCGGAAUUAUUGGGCGUAAAGCGCGCGCAGGCGGUUCCUUAAGUCUGAUGUGAAAGCCCCCGGCUCAACCGGGGAGGGUCAUUGGAAACUGGGGAACUUGAGUGCAGAAGAGGAGAGCGGAAUUCCACGUGUAGCGGUGAAAUGCGUAGAGAUGUGGAGGAACACCAGUGGCGAAGGCGGCUCUCUGGUCUGUAACUGACGCCGAGGCGCGAAAGCGUGGGGAGCGAACAGGAUUAGAUACCCUGGUAGUCCACGCCGUAAACGAUGAGUGCUAAGUGUUAGAGGGUUUCCGCCCUUUAGUGCUGCAGCAAACGCAUUAAGCACUCCGCCUGGGGAGUACGGCCGCAAGGCUGAAACUCAAAGGAAUUGACGGGGGCCCGCACAAGCGGUGGAGCAUGUGGUUUAAUUCGAAGCAACGCGAAGAACCUUACCAGGUCUUGACAUCCUCUGACAACCCUAGAGAUAGGGCGUUCCCCUUCGGGGGACAGAGUGACAGGUGGUGCAUGGUUGUCGUCAGCUCGUGUCGUGAGAUGUUGGGUUAAGUCCCGCAACGAGCGCAACCCUUGAUCUUAGUUGCCAGCAUUAAGUUGGGCACUCUAAGGUGACUGCCGGUGACAAACCGGAGGAAGGUGGGGAUGACGUCAAAUCAUCAUGCCCCUUAUGACCUGGGCUACACACGUGCUACAAUGGAUGGAACAAAGGGCAGCGAAGCCGCGAGGUGAAGCCAAUCCCAUAAAACCAUUCUCAGUUCGGAUUGCAGGCUGCAACUCGCCUGCAUGAAGCCGGAAUCGCUAGUAAUCGCGGAUCAGCAUGCCGCGGUGAAUACGUUCCCGGGCCUUGUACACACCGCCCGUCACACCACGAGAGUUUGUAACACCCGAAGUCGGUGGGGUAACCUUUUGGAGCUAGCCGCCUAAGGUGGGACAGAUGAUUGGGGUGAAGUCGUAACAAGG
rnacentral:rRNA from 1 species